rnacentral:rRNA from 1 species
UCCAGACUCCUACGGGAGGCAGCAGUGAGGAAUAUUGGUCAAUGGACGCAAGUCUGAACCAGCCAUGCCGCGUGCAGGAAGACGGCUCUAUGAGUUGUAAACUGCUUUUGUACGAGGGUAAACGCAGAUACGUGUAUCUGUCUGAAAGUAUCGUACGAAUAAGGAUCGGCUAACUCCGUGCCAGCAGCCGCGGUAAUACGGAGGAUGCGAGCGUUAUCCGGAUUUAUUGGGUUUAAAGGGUGCGUAGGCGGAUUUUUAAGUCAGCGGUAAAAUGUCCGGGCUCAACCCGGGCCGGCCGUUGAAACUGGGGAUCUUGAGUGGGCGAGAAGUAUGCGGAAUGCGUGGUGUGGCGGUGAAAUGCAUAGAUAUCACGCAGAACUCCGAUUGCGAAGGCAGCAUACCGGCGCCCGACUGACGCUGAGGCACGAAAGCGUGGGGAUCGAACAGGAUUAGAUACCCCGGUAGU